rnacentral:rRNA from 1 species
UACGAAGGGGGCUAGCGUUGUUCGGAAUCACUGGGCGUAAAGGGCGCGUAGGCGGCUUUAUAAGUCGGGGGUGAAAUCCUGGAGCUCAACUCCAGAACUGCCUUCGAUACUGGAGAGCUCGAGUCCGGGAGAGGUGAGUGGAACUGCGAGUGUAGAGGUGAAAUUCGUAGAUAUUCGCAAGAACACCAGUGGCGAAGGCGGCUCACUGGCCCGGUACUGACGCUGAGGUGCGAAAGCGUGGGGAGCAAACAGG